AGGGAAAGAGGGAGGAAGGAAGGAAAUAGGAAAGUAGAACGGGAAUGGGCCUUCGGGUGUUGAUGAGUGGUGAACGGGUGAGUAAUAUAUGGGAACGUGAUGGAUAGUGGGGGAUAAUGCGGCGAAAGCUUUGUUAAUACCGCAUACGGUCUACGGAUGAAAGCAGGGGACCGCAAGGCCUUGCGCGGACGGAGCGGCCGAUGGCAGAUUAGGUAGUUGGUGGGAUAAAAGCUUACCAAGCCGACGAUCUGUAGCUGGUCUGAGAGGAUGAUCAGCCACACUGGGACUGAGACACGGCCCAGACUCCUACGGGAGGCAGCAGUGGGGAAUUUUGGACAAUGAGCGCAAGCCUGAUCCAGCCAUGCCGCGUGCAGGAUGAAGGCCUUCGGGUUAUAACCUUCUUUUAUACUGAACGAAAAGCCUUCUUUUAAUACAGGAGGGUCAUGACGGUACCGUAAGAAUAAGCACCAACUCACUACGUC
rnacentral:rRNA from 1 species